rnacentral:misc_RNA from 1 species
GUUGCCGCGACUAAAGUACUGAAAUCCCUUGAUCAUAAUGUUUGUCGCACUUUGACUUCGACCCAAGGGGCGAUGUUUGUCGUUGUGAGGUAGGGAGGUCAGGGAGCCUAAAUCCGUCGAAUCGUCUUUACGCCCCGUGCUCUUCCAUUCGUCCAUAAUGUGAUCCGUUCGCUGAAGAAACUCCGAGAUUCUCGACGAGAGAUAAGAAGACGCGGUGGCGGGUUCCAGAUGAGCGGCGGUCGGCUUGAAAGAUUGGCGAACCUUCUGCUUCUCGAUACCAAGGACGAAAUUGAGACUGGCCAAAAGAAAAAAAAGAAAAAACAAGAAAACCGAAGCGCAACAUCAAGAGGGAUGGUUUUUGAUUUUUCGGUCGACGGGAGUUCGGUUUCCUUGGAAACGCCGCCGCCACCGCCCAACGUGCCGAGAUAAAUAAACCUUGUAAAUUCCCUUAGCCUCGGUAGAGGUUCAAAAGCACUGGGAGAAUAAACUCCGCAGCGGUCUCGCAUUGGAUUUCAUGGAUGGAAAAUACACGCGAUUGGCUUAGUACUGCGCCAGUUUAACGACGUCGCAAUUUUUUUUUGUUUUUUUGUUUCUUCCGUCCCCCCCAUCAUUUUUAUCUUCCCCGUAGCGAAGAUAAGCUUUGGAAUUGCCCCGGGGGGGAACUGGCGGAGAGGUUUCUUACACCCCGCGCGAUGGACGGACGCGGUGGCUAGCAAUGAUUGUGAACGUCGUAUCGAGUGGGACAGCGAGCCGGCGUAUUAUUACCAGGGUGCCGUAGAUUUACGUCUUAACUCUUCCUCUGCUAUCCCAAACCGCCUUCGGUAAGAUCCUUCAACCACGAUAUCCCCGGAGACGUUAAACCGAGCAGCUUCUUCUUCUUCUUAUUCUUCUUCUUCUUCUUAUUCUUCUACUUCUUCUUCUUCUUUGAUUUUACGCCGCCGCAAAAGAUUUUCCCUCCUCCGAACGUCGUCGCCGCGAUCUUCGAUUUUUUUUUUAUUCCAUUUCAUUCGACGAACGGCCCCCGAGUUUUGCGCUCGUUAUGAUACGGACGUACGUUGUACCUACCUACCUACCUACCUACCUACCUAUGCCUCGCGGGAAGCACGUUAAGUACCUGAAAUUUCGAUAUCGAUCCAAGUAAAAUAGACCACCCUUGUACAUAUUCAACGAUCGAACGACUCUGUGUGACGGGAAUUUUUUUUCCCUCCGCAAAUACUUUCGUCCAGAAUUUUCGUACCAAAAAAAAAAAAAA